AACGAACGUUGGCGGCGUGGUUGAGGCAUGCAAGUCGAGCGAGAACGGAUCCUUCGGGGUCCUAGUAAAGCGGCGGAAGGGUGAGUAACGGGCAGAUAACGUACCCCGGAGCGGGGGAUAACGGACCGAAAGGGCCGCUAAUACCCCAUAAGACCACGGUGAGGCACUCACUGAGGUCAAAGCGGAGGACCUUCGGGCUUCGCACUCUGGGAUCGGUUUGCUCCCUACCAGCUAGUUGGCGGGGUAACGGCCCACCAAGGCUACGACGGGUACCCGGGCUGAGAGGCUGACCGGGCACAUCGGCACUGAGACACUGGCCGGACACCUACGGGUGGCUGCAGUUCGGAAUAUUCGGCAAUGCGCGCAAGCGCGACCGAGCGACGCCGCGUGCGGGAUGAAGGCCCUCUGGGUUGUAAACCGCUGUCACAGGUGAACAAAUCACGCAGACUAACACUCUGUCGUGUUGAGUUAAGCCUGAGAGGAAGCCCCCGCUAAUCACGUGCCAGCAGCGGCGGUAAUACG
rnacentral:rRNA from 1 species